CCCGGUUUUGCCACUGCUCUCGUGUUUGUAUUACACUUUUCUUUACUUUUUGAGCUUUAGUUUGUCUUUACAAUGGUUAGGAAUUUCAAUUUGGCAUAUAUUAGUGCUUGGCCCCUCUGAUGCUCGGACUCUUCGAAAUAGUAGAAGUACCCGUGUCGGACACGAUACGACAUGGGCAUGGGAUAUGUGUCGAAUCUUUCAAGUUUCAACCGGACACUUCGCCGUUUUUACUUCUUCUUUUCCCCCCUUUUUCCCUUCCCAUUUUGCUCUCUCUAAAUUUUGUGCCGCCCCCGAGAGGGUAGAGAAGGGCAACGGCGUUAAGUUUUCCUUUUCUUCUUCUUUAUUUUUUCUUUUCCUUUUGUUCAUUUUUUUCUUUCUUUCCCUCUCUAUAUCGGUGGUUUAAGGUCUUGUUUGUAUAAAAUAAAAAUGAGUGCUAUAUGGUGCUACUUAUUGCUCCAUUAACUCCAAAUUACAAUCAAGUCUCUCAUUGUCUAAUUUAUAUGAUAUUUAGUAAUUAACUUCCUAUAAUUGAAAACUAAAUCUCAAUAUUUUAUUUUAUUUUAUUUUAUUCGUUUUAACCCCUUAUUCAGUAAUCAUUUCCUUCUUUGUGAACAAUUGACUUUGGUAUAUUCAAAAUGACAAAUUGGGUUAGUAAAAAAAGUGAAUCUUGAAAGACGUACCAACGUAUCCGUAUCCGAAAUUUGGACUCUUUUCAGCGAUGUCCCCGUAUCCUUUAGUUUAAAAAAUAAAAGAUCCGAUACUCUUAGAUAGAUACCCGUACCAGAGUCUGAGUAUCAUAGCUUGGACCUACUAUAUAAAUGUCAAAGAAUAUACGUCCGUGUAUGUCUGCCACACUGAUCGCCGUCUUUUUGAGCCCUGAUUUGUCUUUAAUAUGGUUAUUGUUAAAGUAAUAAGUUAAUUAGGUUAAGGGUAGUUUAGUCUUAUUGUGUUUCCUUAGUUUUGCACUAUAUAAACCAUUGUAAUCUUACAUUAUGCAACCAAGUUUGGAGGCUGCUAUCAAUCGGUUUUCUCUCUUUCUCCUCCAUUCUUCAUCUUUGGUUUGUUGUUUUCUACAUGGUAUCAGAGCGGGUUUGAUUUUGGGUUAAACUUGCAAGGUAUCAUUUUCCGGCCAAUUUUUUUUUGUUUUACUUUGUUGCAUUUUUUUUGGAUUCAAGUUAGAGAAAAAAUCAAUCUUGAAAGUACGAUAGUUUUCUUCUGGUGUUAUUCACAUUGAAAUAUAGGGUUUUUGUCAUGGCAACGGAGAGCUUUUCUUUACCGGACUCGAAGGUUCAGAAGAUUUUAGAGAAGCCAAUGGAGGAGAAAAGGCAGAAGUUUAAGAUAACAGUGUCAUGUCAAACUUCGGAUUAUCCAGUGAUAAUCGUAAUAAUCUGUCAUCAAGAAUUCGUUCUGUACCUGAGUUCAAGCCCAGGAAAGUCUCUGCAGUUCGGGCUUUCCCACCUGGGUGUGGCCUCAAUGCUAAGCCAGUGGAUUUGAAGUUGGACAGUGUUAAGCUGGGAACAUCCUCUGGGCAUAAGGAUAAAUUCCUUUGUAGAAGCGUUUGCUACGUGUGACUUUCCUCCAUUAUGCAGUCCAAAUGCUCCUCAACCUACCCAAGAAGAACAACAGAUGAUUAAUCGUGGAAAAGGUUUUGUGGAUGACAGUACAAAGAUUGAAGUGGAAACUGAUGCAAUUCAGACACUAAGGAAAAAUCUGGAAAGAGGGGCAUUGAUGGACACGCAGAUCAUAUCUCAAACUGAAUCUGUGGAUGGAGUUGAAAAGGUUGAAGUCAGAACAGAAGCAGUGGAAAGACUUGAAACAAUUAGAGGAACAAUCGGAGAAGAUGUGAUGAAGCUGCCUUUAUCGUGGUGACACAAAGCUGUUGCCAAAAGAAGUAAAAUUGAGAGAAAUAUUUCAGGGUGGGCAUCCAUGAAGAAGAAAGCAAUUCCUGUUCCUAGUAGAAAUCCGGGUGCAUUGAUCCUAAGGGAUUGAACAAGUUACGGUGCCCAUGAUGAAAAUCUACCCUCAAAUUCUCGUUCCAGCAAUGCACCACAUGAUUUUGAUGUUACCAUGCCUCCCAAACAUUCCAGUCAUGAUGAUGCCCAUCAUAGAGUGAUAGAGACUCUUCGAUUGUUUUCUUCUAUUUGCAGAAAGCUCCCACAAAAUGAGGAAAAGUCUGAGAAUCAACCCAGGAGGAUUGAUCUUCAUGCAGCGAAGAUUAUCAAAGAAGAAAAAAAGGAAGUUAACAUAGGCAAGCAACUUUUGGGAGAAGUGCCUGGAAUUGAAGUGGGGGAUUGCUAUUGUUGGCAUUCACCGCCUUUACCAGACUGGUAUAGAUUCAAUGAAGCACAACGGAAUAUCGGUUGCAAAUAGUGUUGUCGAUGCUGGUGUGUGUGCUGGUGAUAAGCAUAACGCUGAUACGUUGUUAUACUCUAGACAUGGGGGAAACAUCGUUGGGAAGAAUAAGCAACCUGAAGAUCAGAAGCUCGAGAGAGGAAAUUUAGCUUUAAAGAAUAGUAUAUCAACAGAGAGUCCCGUUCAUGUUGUCCGAGGAUUGAAAGAAACAAAUUCUUGAGGUAAGCUAGUCACAACCUAUGUUUAUGAUGGCUUAUACACUGUGGACAGGUAUUGGCAAGAAACUGGACCUCAUCGGAAGCUGGUUUUCAUGUUUGAGUUGAGUCGAAUUCCCGAUCAACCUAUGCUUGGAAAGAAAUCAAAGAUACAAGGGGGUAUAAUUUAUAUUUUCGGGGUGUUCGUAUAAGCUCUGUAGGAAUAUCUCAUUCCUUUUCAAAUGUAGAACUUAGGGCCUGUUUGAUUGGUUCGAAUUCCAUUUUUCAUGGAAUUCGAAUUCCACAUUUUUCCAGUUUUGUGUGUUUUAUUUGUUUUAUUUUCCAUGGAAUUCUAUUUUCUUGGUUGUAUUGGAAAUUAGUACUUUCUUGGUUUUCCAA